CGCCUAUCUUUAUCUAUAAGCCCCAAACAUAUAGCAUAAAUGUGCCAUUUGGAGACCAUCUGAGGAAUGGAAGAGGUCUAGAAGUGGUCUCCUGCUCAUGCUGACCAGGAGGACUCGGUCAUCUACAGUGGAGUCCAAUCCCAGCACCCAUCCCAGCUCAGCAGGUCCUGUGAAACGAAUGGGGAGGAUGAGUCAUCUACAGACAUCUAUAGCAGAUUGCAGAAACCAUAUAGAAAAUGAUGCGAACCCACAAAGAUUCCAGAAGCAAUGUAGAACAUGACUUCAAUAUGGAAGAUUCCAGAAGCAAUGUAGAACAUGACUUCAAUAUGGAAGAUUCCAGAAGCAAUGUAGAACAUGACUUCAAUAUGGAAGAUUCCAGAAGCAAUGUAGAACAUGACUGGGAUACAGAAUAUCCUUCAAUAUGGAAGAGUGUUC